rnacentral:lncRNA from 1 species
UGUGUAACAACAAGUAUGAUUGCUCAGAUAUAACUAAUCAAUUAUGUUAUAUAGUUCCCCGUACCGUCAAUAGGCGCGGGGUGCGCGCUCGUCCACUGUUUGCUGUUUCUUCCAGCCGUACUAACGCUGGACAGCGCGCGCCUCUGUGUCGCAUGCUGUGGAUAACGUCGUGAGUUGCACACUGAUGUAUACUACUUAACCAUUUUGUUAGAUUUUUAAUAAGUGUGUAAUUGUUUGUUAUCCCUAAUAAAUAAAAAAAAAAAAAAAAAAAAAAAAA